rnacentral:rRNA from 1 species
ACCCUGACCGAGCAACGCCGCGUGAGUGAAGAAGGUUUUCGGAUCGUAAAGCUCUGUUGUAAGAGAAGAACGUGUGUGAGAGUGGAAAAUUCACACAGUGACGGUAACUUACCAGAAAGGGACGGCUAACUACGUGCCAGCAGCCGCGGUAAU